rnacentral:misc_RNA from 1 species
GAACGCACAUUGCGCCCCUUGGUAUUCCGGGGGGCAUGCCUGUUCGAGCGUCAUUAUAACCCUCAAGCCUAGCUUGGUGUUGGGGCAUGCCUUUGGGCAGCCCUUAAAAUCAGUGGCAGUGCCUGUCGGCUCUAAGCGUAGUAAUUUCUCUCGCUAUAGGGUCCGGUAGAACACGCGCCAGAACCCCCAACUUUCUAUGGUUGACCUCGGAUCAGGUAGGGAUACCCGCUGAACUUAAG